AACUGUGGGAACUUUUACUUCACCGGGUUUCCUUCAGAACUCACACAGGUACGCGUGAGCAGUGAGCACUCAUACUUCGUGCGCACCUGGCGGUGUCUCUGAAGCUCAGCCUACAGGGCGUGGAAAAGCCCUGGAAUUGUUUUCGACGCUGGUUUCCCAACAUCGCCCAUACUUCUUCGGAUUUCCCUAACAAAGUGUACUGCCUCCCCGGCUUUUCGCAAGGAAUACUCUUUUUUCCCCCCUACUACCUUCACCGAUCCACUUGGAAGACGAAUUAUGUAAAGCUUUUACCACGAUCGCUCUCUGGCAGUUAUCGAACAGAAAUCUUGAUCUGCCAUAGCGAGUUGUUUCUCAGAAAGGUGUGUACAUUUCUGUCAGACUGGGAAAAGUGUGUGUGGUCAAACAUGUGGGUGGUGUCAAAGAGUGUGUGAGGUGAGAUCACACUUCUUCUCCUACAUCUGAGUGACAGCUGUAAGUCUUUUGGACACACACACACACACACAUGAUGCCACAUCCCCCAAUCUCCUACGGUGUCUCACAACACAUAUGGAGCCCCCCACAAACCCUGCAACCUGUCGUCCUGUCUGGCAGUCUCUUCCUACCCGGCUAAUGUCUGACAAAACUCAUAAUGAACUGAAGUGGCCAUUAAGAUGAUCGAAUGGUUCAUUCACUCAUCUAUUCACCACCUUUAUUACCCCAAAAAAGUGUAUUCAACAUCAUGCCACGAUGAUCUGUACCUCAAAAGUCCAUUUCUAAUGUAAUCAUGAUUGCCAUUAGGGUUUAUUGUUUGUUUGGGAAUAAAACAUCCAGCGUCUUUUACUCUGAAUUCA
ensembl:lncRNA